AGGAUGAUAUUAAUGAGGAGGAAGAAAAGUUGAUGGAUGCCUUUCUAUCAAAAGAUGAUCGCCCUGAACGAACAUUGGCUGACAUCAUUGUGGAGAAGAUCAAGGAAAAAGAUGCCCAAGUUUCAUCUGGAGCACAACCAAUGCCGAAAUUGGACAACUCCAUCAUUGAGCUGUACAAGGGGGUUGGUAAACUGCUUAACAAGUACACCUCUGGCAAGAUGCCCAAAGCUUUCAAGCACGUACCUUCUCUGCAAUUCUGGGAAGAAGUUUUAUACAAGACAGCCCUAGUUUGCUUUGUUUUCUUGGUUAUUCUGAAUUGAGAAUAUUGAACACUGCUUUGCUUUCAGGUAACAACUAAUGAGGGGAUUAGAGCAAGUGGGAACUCAGAUUUCAGUGAUGAAAUGGGCAAGGAACUUAGCCAAAUGAGUGCGGCAGCUGGGCUAAGGAGGCUGAUGUUAUGAGAAGCAAAUUGGAGACGGCGAAAGAGAGGAAGCUGAUGCUCACUGCUGAAAUUCGGUUUCUACGGAAAAGGCAUAUAUACCUUGUGAAGACGAAGGAUGCGAAUUCACCUGUGCAAGAACAAAAUCUUGUACAAGCGCCAAACUCACUAAAGCGUGCUAAAAUCACAAAGCAGCAGCUUCUGAAUGGAAAAGAAGCGAGCCGGCAUAGAUUGCCUUCAGCUCCAGUACCCAUCUCCAAGAAGAAACGAGUUGCUCUGCCAGAUGCUUCAUGUAGUAAAACAUGUAUUAACAGGCAACUUGUGUAGCUCGAAUUGUUGGAUGCUAUGUUAUAUAUGCUAAUAUUAUCUUGUCAAUGUUAUUUUAUUA